CAAUCAAAACAUUAUAAUGGCUGACCUUUUGUCAGAGAUGAAGGUCAUAUUAAAAUCUAAUUUUAGCCAAAUUUGCGAUGACACGAGAGAAGCGAUGAUUUCUACCAUUAAAAAGAUUUGAGGUAAUGGAGGAGUCAAGAAAAAUUUGAGUUUCAAUCAAUCUGCUUAUGGAUUUUAAUGUGGAUGGGCGAAAAGGAAAAGGGCGUUUACUGGACUGUAAAAAACUAUUUGAUGUUAUUUAUAGAGCGGUUAUUAUCGAGAACAUUGAAAUAACAGUGUCUAUGUUUGUGGCUGAAUUGAGAGAGGCGAUUCGACUAUUGAAAAAUAAGCAGUACAAAAAUGAAAGUAUUGCCAGAAGUAACAAAGGAGAAUUGUUUUAAAAUUUCCGUCCACUACAAAUAAAUGAAAUUAACUUUUUUUUAUAGAUUUUAACU